UUCAGAUACAGUAAACCCAUAUAUUGAAGCUUUCUAGUAUAAUAAAAAAUUCAACUAUUCUGUUAAAUCAUCUGUCCUUAUUGGAGGCUACAGAAUAGAUGUCAUCUUAGGACUGCUUGCUCUGAGUAAGGCUUGUCUUCAAAUCUGAAUGACCACAAGGAGAUUAUAAAUGUGAACACCUCAGAAGGCACAGCCCACCCAGAAGGCAGACAGGUCAGGCUAUUUUUUCUUCAUUGGUUGGAUUCAAUCUUCUGGCAGCUCAGACAUAACUUAAGCAUGAUUAAACUUUAGAAGAAGCUGCCAGGAAGACUGUGAAAUCUUCAUGCCCAAAGAUCCCUAAAAUUAGGAGCGACAACCACUUGGCUCAGAUGGUUUAUGGAGGCAAAGGUUUGGAUGGGAUUAGAGAUUUCUAAAUGUGAGUUCGUGUCCUCUGGCAGACCACCUUACUUCCACCAUUCCUCAGCAAAUCGAGAAAAACGAGAGUAAAGACCUGUCUUUCUAUAAGUUAAAUCCAUUGUUUUAAUUCUAUAUUAUAUCUGCAGUACAACUUCUUUUGUUUGUAACACCAUAUUGUUGCUAGUAGCUGGAAAUUAAUUUUCACAUGCCUCAGCUUAGAAAAAUAAAAAGCAGUUCUGCAUCAAUCCCAA